rnacentral:misc_RNA from 1 species
GAUGAAGAACGUAGCGAAAUGCGAUAAGUAAUGUGAAUUGCAGAAUUCAGUGAAUCAUCGAAUCUUUGAACGCACAUUGCGCCCGUCAGUAUUCUGGCGGGCAUGCCUGUUCGAGCGUCAUUACGCCCCUCAAGUCCCCUGUGGACUUGGUGUUGGGGAUCGGCGAGGCUGGUUUUCCAGCACAGCCGUCCCUUAAAUUAAUUGGCGGUCUCGCCGUGGCCCUCCUCUGCGCAGUAGUAAAACACUCGCAACAGGAGCNCNGCGCGGUCCACUGCCGUAAAACCCCCCAACUUUUUAUAGUUGACCUCGAAUCAGGUAGGACUACCCGCUGAACUUAAGCAUAUCAAUAAGCGGAGGA